rnacentral:rRNA from 1 species
UACGGAGGAUGCAAGCGUUAUCCGGAAUGAUUGGGCGUAAAGGGUCCGCAGGUGGCAGUGUAAGUCUGCUGUCAAAGAAUGAGGCUUAACCUCAUCAAGGCAGUGGAAACUACACAGCUAGAGUACGGUCGGGGUAGAAGGAAUUCCUGGUGUAGCGGUGAAAUGCGUAGAUAUCUGGAGGAACACCGGUGGCGAAGGCGGCAUCCUGGACCGACACUGACACUGAGGAGCGAAAGCCAGGGGAGCAAACGGG